rnacentral:rRNA from 1 species
UACGGAGGGUGCAAGCGUUAUCCGGAUUCACUGGGUUUAAAGGGUGCGUAGGCGGGUAGGUAAGUCAGUGGUGAAAUCCUGGAGCUCAACUCCAGAACUGCCAUUGAUACUAUUUAUCUUGAAUAUUGUGGAGGUAAGCGGAAUAUGUCAUGUAGCGGUGAAAUGCUUAGAUAUGACAUAGAACACCUAUUGCGAAGGCAGCUCACUACGCAUAUAUUGACGCUGAGGCACGAAAGCGUGGGGAUCAAACAGG